rnacentral:rRNA from 1 species
UUAAAUUGAAGAGUUUGAUCAUGGCUCAGAUUGAACGCUGGCGGCAGGCCUAACACAUGCAAGUCGAACGGUAACAGGAAGAAGCUUGCUUCUUUGCUGACGAGUGGCGGACGGGUGAGUAAUGUCUGGGAAACUGCCUGAUGGAGGGGGAUAACUACUGGAAACGGUAGCUAAUACCGCAUAACGUCGCAAGACCAAAGAGGGGGACCUUCGGGCCUCUUGCCAUCGGAUGUGCCCAGAUGGGAUUAGCUUGUUGGUGGGGUAACGGCUCACCAAGGCGACGAUCCCUAGCUGGUCUGAGAGGAUGACCAGCCACACUGGAACUGAGACACGGUCCAGACUCCUACGGGAGGCAGCAGUGGGGAAUAUUGCACAAUGGGCGCAAGCCUGAUGCAGCCAUGCCGCGUGUAUGAAGAAGGCCUUCGGGUUGUAAAGUACUUUCAGCGGGGAGGAAGGGAGUAAAGUUAAUACCUUUGCUCAUUGACGUUACCCGCAGAAGAAGCACCGGCUAACUCCGUGCCAGCAGCCGCGGUAAUACGGAGGGUGCAAGCGUUAAUCGGAAUUACUGGGCGUAAAGCGCACGCAGGCGGUUUGUUAAGUCAGAUGUGAAAUCCCCGGGCUCAACCUGGGAACUGCAUCUGAUACUGGCAAGCUUGAGUCUCGUAGAGGGGGGUAGAAUUCCAGGUGUAGCGGUGAAAUGCGUAGAGAUCUGGAGGAAUACCGGUGGCGAAGGCGGCCCCCUGGACGAAGACUGACGCUCAGGUGCGAAAGCGUGGGGAGCAAACAGGAUUAGAUACCCUGGUAGUCCACGCCGUAAACGAUGUCGACUUGGAGGUUGUGCCCUUGAGGCGUGGCUUCCGGAGCUAACGCGUUAAGUCGACCGCCUGGGGAGUACGGCCGCAAGGUUAAAACUCAAAUGAAUUGACGGGGGCCCGCACAAGCGGUGGAGCAUGUGGUUUAAUUCGAUGCAACGCGAAGAACCUUACCUGGUCUUGACAUCCACGGAAGUUUUCAGAGAUGAGAAUGUGCCUUCGGGAACCGUGAGACAGGUGCUGCAUGGCUGUCGUCAGCUCGUGUUGUGAAAUGUUGGGUUAAGUCCCGCAACGAGCGCAACCCUUAUCCUUUGUUGCCAGCGGUCCGGCCGGGAACUCAAAGGAGACUGCCAGUGAUAAACUGGAGGAAGGUGGGGAUGACGUCAAGUCAUCAUGGCCCUUACGACCAGGGCUACACACGUGCUACAAUGGCGCAUACAAAGAGAAGCGACCUCGCGAGAGCAAGCGGAUCUCAUAAAGUGCGUCGUAGUCCGGAUUGGAGUCUGCAACUCGACUCCAUGAAGUCGGAAUCGCUAGUAAUCGUGGAUCAGAAUGCCACGGUGAAUACGUUCCCGGGCCUUGUACACACCGCCCGUCACACCAUGGGAGUGGGUUGCAAAAGAAGUAGGUAGCUUAACCUUCGGGAGGGCGCUUACCACUUUGUGAUUCAUGACUGGGGUGAAGUCGUAACAAGGUAACCGUAGGGGAACCUGCGGUUGGAUCACCUCCUUACCUUAAAGAAGC